GACGAACUCUGGCGGCGUGCUUAACACAUGCAAGUCGAACGGUAAGGCUCCAGCUUGCUGGGGUACACGAGUGGCGAACGGGUGAGUAACACGUGGGUGACCUGCCCUGCACUUCGGGAUAAGCCUGGGAAACUGGGUCUAAUACCGGAUAGGACCGCACCGUGAGGGUGUGGUGGAAAGUUUUUUCGGUGUGGGAUGGGCCCGCGGCCUAUCAGCUUGUUGGUGGGGUAAUGGCCUACCAAGGCGGCGACGGGUAGCCGGCCUGAGAGGGUGGACGGCCACAUUGGGACUGAGACACGGCCCAGACUCCUACGGGAGGCAGCAGUGGGGAAUAUUGCACAAUGGGCGGAAGCCUGAUGCAGCGACGCCGCGUGGGGGAUGACGGCCUUCGGGUUGUAAACUCCUUUCACCAUCGACGAAGGGUUUCUGACGGUAGAUGGAGAAGAAGCACCGGCUAACUACGUGCCAGCAGCCGCGGUAAUACGUAGGGUGCGAGCGUUGUCCGGAAUUACUGGGCGUAAAGAGCUCGUAGGUGGUUUGUCGCGUCGUCUGUGAAAUUCCGGGGCUUAACUCCGGGCGUGCAGGCGAUACGGGCAUAACUUGAGUACUGUAGGGGAGACUGGAAUUCCUGGUGUAGCGGUGAAAUGCGCAGAUAUCAGGAGGAACACCGGUGGCGAAGGCGGGUCUCUGGGCAGUAACUGACGCUGAGGAGCGAAAGCAUGGGGAGCGAACAGGAUUAGAUACCCUGGUAGUCCAUGCCGUAAACGGUGGGCGCUAGGUGUGGGUUUCCUUCCACGGGAUCCGUGCCGUAGCUAACGCAUUAAGCGCCCCGCCUGGGGAGUACGGCCGCAUGGCUAAAACUCAAAGGAAUUGACGGGGGCCCGCACAAGCGGCGGAGCAUGUGGAUUAAUUCGAUGCAACGCGGAGAACCUUACCUGGGCUUGACAUAUACAGGAUCGCGCCAGAGAUGGUGUUUCCCUUGUGGCUUGUAUACAGGUGGUGCAUGGUUGUCGUCAGCUCGUGUCGUGAGAUGUUGGGUUAAGUCCCGCAACGAGCGCAACCCUUGUCUUAUGUUGCCAGCACGUUGUGGUGGGGACUCGUAAGAAACUGCCGGGGUUAACUCGGAGGAAGGUGGGGAUGACGUCAAAUCAUCAUGCCCCUUAUGUCCAGGGCUUCACACAUGCUACAAUGGUCGGUACAGUGGGUUGCCAGUCCGUGAGGGCGAGCUAAUCCCGCAAAGCCGGUCUCAGUUCGGAUCGGGGUCUGCAACUCGACCCCGUGAAGUCGGAGUCGCUAGUAAUCGCAGAUCAGCAACGCUGCGGUGAAUACGUUCCCGGGCCU
rnacentral:rRNA from 1 species